rnacentral:rRNA from 1 species
UGCCAGACUCCUACGGGAGGCAGCAGUGAGGAAUAUUGGUCAAUGGCCGCAGGGCUGAACCAGCCAAGUCGCGUGAGGGAUGACGGUCCUAUGGAUUGUAAACCUCUUUUGUCAGGGAGCAAAGGGCGCCACGUGUGGCGUUUUGCGAGUACCUGAAGAAAAAGCAUCGGCUAACUCCGUGCCAGCAGCCGCGGUAAUACGGAGGAUGCGAGCGUUAUCCGGAUUUAUUGGGUUUAAAGGGUGCGCAGGCGGAAUGUCAAGUCAGCGGUAAAAUUUCGGGGCUCAACCCCGUCGUGCCGUUGAAACUGGCGUUCUUGAGUGAGCGAGAAGUAUGCGGAAUGCGUGGUGUAGCGGUGAAAUGCGUAGAUAUUAGGAGGAACACCAGUGGCGAAGGCGGCUUACUGGACGGUAACUGACGUUGAGGCUCGAAAGCGUGGGGAGCAAACAGGAUU